CAGAAGACUGCUUUAUUCCACCAACUGCGUUUUCAUACAGAGUUUGAGAGAGCAGGUACCAGAUUUAUGAAGGCUCUGUGUUAGCUGUGGCUCGUUAUAAAGCCCUGUACCAGCUCUGCCACCAGCAAGCCGCUGGGGACACCACCAAGUAAAUGCCACUGUGUGACCAAUGCUUGCUGAGAAGGCUUUGAGGGACCCCCAGGAACACCCAUGUGCUACCCUUAGUGGGACACAGAGCAGCAGGCUCUCUUGGGAGAGCUGCAGAAGGCACUGCGAGGUCUUCACUUGACUUCAUUGGCAGCCCAUCUUUGCACCUCGGAGGGAAUUCUUUUCCAAGGAAUGGAUUUUGGAGGGAAAUGUUCAGCAAUCAGUAUUUCCAAAGCUGAGCUUGGUAACCAAGAGAAGGAAGGUACAUCAGAAAAUGCCUGAAUUCA
rnacentral:lncRNA from 1 species